UCUCUAGUAGAAGGAUAAAAGAAUUAAGAAUGGCAGUCAAUAUGUAGGAUGGUGUGUCAUGAUGACACAUUUUUCCUUACAACCAUCUUUAACCUGGUUCUCUCCAGAGGCACCUGUGUGAUCAUUUCUGUUUCGAGCAAUCUACUUCUGAGGGUCUUCAUCAUAUAGGGUAUACCACUGUAAUGCGUAUUUCCAGUGUCUUGGGAAGUGGAGGACAAGAAAACAACAACAAACACUCAGAUGUGGCCAGUUCUCAUCCUUGUCCAACACCCUCCAGAGGCUCCUGAAGACAUGAGGACUUUCCUGAGCUUCUCUUAGACCGUUUCCUUAGCAGCCACCCCAUUGCUCUGGCCCCACCAGAUCCUCUAGCAAUGCUGAUUUGUGACUCUCCGUGCACAUCCCCGCGGUCAUUGUUUCCAUCACUUCCUGUCAUCCCGAUGCUGGUGGAGGGAUUCUGCCGGCUGGUUCUGUCAGGCAGGAUAGGUAGCUGCUAGGGCAGGAGGAAGGGAAGCAGGGUGGAGAGGGCAGCUUAUCUCACUCCUGAACAAGAAGGUCAUUGGUCAAUAAAAAUCACCAGAUAGUGUCAUAAAUUCUGGGAAAAACUACAACAGUGUAAAAGGGGGACUUUGAAAUCUAAUCUGUUGCUCAAGAUAUCCAGUGGGGGAAAGUAUAAAACCCUUGAACCCCCACCGACUAGCUGAGUCGUCUGCUUGUGCCUUAUGCCAACUGUAUUCUUACUAAAUUCAGUUGCUUUGCCUCCUUAA